rnacentral:rRNA from 1 species
UACGUAGGGUGCAGGCGUUAAUCGGAAUUACUGGGCGUAAAGCGUGCGCAGGCGGUGAUGUAAGACAGGUGUGAAAUCCCCGGGCUUAACCUGGGAACUGCAUUUGUGACUGCAUCGCUGGAGUGCGGCAGAGGGGGAUGGAAUUCCGCGUGUAGCAGUGAAAUGCGUAGAGAUGUGGAGGAACACCGAUGGCGAAGGCAGCCCCCUGGGUCAAGAUUGACGCUCAUGCACGAAAGCGUGGGGAGCAAACAGG